rnacentral:rRNA from 1 species
CGAACGCUUUGUCUUUAAUUGAUCUGACGAGCUUGCUCUGAUUUGAUUUUAUCUGACAAAGAGUGGCGAACGGGUGAGUAACACGUGGGUAACCUACCUCUUAGCAGGGGAUAACAUUUGGAAACAAGUGCUAAUACCGUAUAAUACCAACAACCGCAUGGUUGUUGGUUGAAAGAUGGUUCUGCUAUCACUAAGAGAUGGACCCGCGGUGCAUUAGCUAGUUGGUAAGGUAACGGCUUACCAAGGCAAUGAUGCAUAGCCGAGUUGAGAGACUGAUCGGCCACAAUGGGACUGAGACACGGCCCAUACUCCUACGGGAGGCAGCAGUAGAGAAUCUUCCACAAUGGGCGCAAGCCUGAUGGAGCAACGCCGCGUGUGUGAUGAAGGGUUUCGGCUCGUAAAACACUGUUAUAAGAGAAGAACGGCACUGAGAGUAACUGUUCAGUGUGUGACGGUAUCUUACCAGAAAGGAACGGCUAAAUACGUGCCAGCAGCCGCGGUAAUACGUAUGUUCCAAGCGUUAUCCGGAUUUAUUGGGCGUAAAGCGAGCGCAGACGGUUAUUUAAGUCUGAAGUGAAAGCCCUCAGCUCAACUGAGGAAUGGCUUUGGAAACUGGAUGACUUGAGUGCAGUAGAGGAAAGUGGAACUCCAUGUGUAGCGGUGAAAUGCGUAGAUAUAUGGAAGAACACCAGUGGCGAAGGCGGCUUUCUGGACUGUAACUGACGUUGAGGCUCGAAAGUGUGGGUAGCAAACAGGAUUAGAUACCCUGGUAGUCCACACCGUAAACGAUGAGUGCUAGAUGUUCGAGGGUUUCCGCCCUUGAGUGUCGCAGCUAACGCAU